rnacentral:lncRNA from 1 species
GGCACACAGAGGCACGCUGCAGAGCAGCUGGCCAUAGUUCUUGGCAUGCACUCACACUAGGCUGAGAUGCUGCUCACAUUUUUCUAGGUGUGUAUAGUGGAAACAAAACCAAAAUAUUAUCACAAGGCUAAGUUUGUUUUACAGCUGCUUAUGAUCUAUGAUGGUGCUUGUUUGAGCCUCAUCUAAACAGCUUCCCGGAGCUCCCAGCCACUUCCACCCCCACACACACUCCCUGGCAGCUGAGUCUGAGGGUGACUCCAGAGGUUCUCCACGCAGCACCAGGGGAGAGAAGCCCUGGCCUGAGGGGUGGGGUCUUCUCAGCAGGAGGCUGACACCCUGAGGCUCCAGGCCCGGUUUUCUCCUGGGCAUAGCUGGACAAGUUCCAGUUCUUAGGGUUGAGAUUGAAGGAGAAACUCAUUUUCUCAGCAGGGGUGUUAUCUGCCAAGGGCUUGGGAUUCCUGUAUUUGCUGUGACUAACCUGACCAUGCGGUUCUGAAGCUAUGGAGCUUGUUUGUGGGAGGAAUUUUGAAAAGUUCAGAGUUGCAAGCUGGAAAAACUUUAGAAUGUUAUAGCUUAACUGAAAAUUCUGGUGGGAGCUCAGAAGACCAGGACUGUGGACAGUAAAGACUGGGCUCAUUAGGUUGCAGAGCAGAAAUAGGACUCUAUCGGAAACUGGACUAUAGGCCAUUUGUCUUAUGUUCUGGCUAUGAAGUUGUCUGCAUUUUGCCCACAUUCUGAGAUUUUCUGUGAGGUUAAAUUUAAAGGUGGUGGAUUAAUUAAUGUGGUGGAAAAAAUUUCAAGGCAGCUCAGCAUUCAGGAGGUAGUGUAGAUAU